GGGUUUACCGGGUUUCUCCCACGCUAUACCAUCCACGCUGCUUCGCCCACCACAACCCACGCCAAACGCCACCAACGCUGCCCUCCACUACCGUCGCCUGAGUUUCUCGCCGACGUCCCUCCUUUGUCUCGCUGCUGGUUCCGCUGCUCUCUUCUCUCAUCCAGAAAACUCUAAAAGACCAAAUAUUUCCAUAAAAGUCUUUCAAAUUCUCUGAUAAAUUCGUGUCACCAAUGUCAACUCGUCGCCGUCCCUUUCUCUCAGUCAUCAUUCUCAGCAACAGUGGGAAUUGGGUAGAUUACUUGCUGCCUUGCUGGAGAUGGGUCUUGCUCAACUAAGUGGUAUGCAGUCGUGGCUUAGGAUCUCCUCUUACCUUGUUGCUAUCCACAUCAUAUGAGUCUUAUGGGUCUUGGUCCAAACAAUUUAUCUGGAUCCCUGCCUUUAGAGAUUGGAAACCAUACAAGAUUGCAACAAUUGUAAGUUUCCAACAUGAUGUAUGAAUAGGACUCGUCAUGGUACAAAAGUCUGGCUUUCUUUUAAACUGCAUGAUCUUCAAAAUCUUUUUUCACUCUCCAAGGCCGGUGGUUCUAAUUAUGGAUCUAUAAGUAAUUUCUCAUUCAUGGUGGAGGCAAUCUGUUUCUGUAUUUGUGAUGUAAUACAAGUUUAUUGAUUUCAAGUUUAAUCCAAUGAUAGUUGAACUACUUUAAUUAAGUGGUAUAUUAUCUGAUAUCUAAUAUCUGUCUGGUUCGUGCAAGGGAGUUAGAUAGAGAUUUGUUACAUUUCACGCACUUGUUUCCAACAGUUGGGAUGAAUGGGUUGGCACGGAUUGCCUGAUGAAAAUUACCAAUGAAAAUAUCCACAAACAGCAGGCUCUAGAGAAUAAACAAGGUGUAGACAACUUAAAUACGUCUGGACGUUCGAAUCACACAAAGCUCAAAAGUUCUACUGGUUAGCCACUUCUUACAAGUAAAUAUUGAUGAUGUUCAUCAAUUGAAUUGGUUAAAGGCAUAACAAAUCAACAAAACAAUGUUAGUUAAUAAACAUAUAUUCUAUUCUAAUAUGCUAAUAAGCUUUAAUUUUGUUUUUCUUAUCUCCACUGAUCUAGUUUUUUCUGUUUUUUCUGUUUUUUUGCUGGAUUUAUUCCUCGUUUGAAUAAAAAAAUAACAAGUUUACAUUUGGA